CGCACAUGCCUUACUGUGAAAUGGUUAAAUUAUACUCUUGAUACAGGUGAUAGCAGAAAAUCCACCUAUCUGGAAAUGAAAGGAUGGAUGAAUAUGGAGCUCUGUGGUCUGCUUCAUUUCCUUGACAGGAGCUUCAAAGCUUGAUUUCUGAUCAAUGGAAAGAAAUGGGGCAGGGUAGAGAUAUGUCUACUGAUUUCAGGAACUAUUAAAAUGCUGAGAUCAACACCAGAUCCACCUAAAGAAUCUGAAAGGAGA
rnacentral:sRNA from 1 species